rnacentral:rRNA from 1 species
AUACGGAGGAUGCAAGCGUUAUCCGGAUUUAUUGGGUUUAAAGGGUGCGUAGGCGGAUUGAUAAGUCAGCGGUGAAAUUCACAGGCUCAACCUGUGCCGUGCCGUUGAAACUGUCCAUCUGGAAUACGUAUGCUGUGGGAGGAAUGUGUAGUGUAGCGGUGAAAUGCAUAGAUAUUACACAGAACACCUAUUGCGAAGGCAUCUCACAAAGUCGUUAUUGACGCUGAGGCACGAAAGUGUGGGGAUCAAACAGGAUUAGAUACCCUGGUAGUCCACUACUGUAAACUAUGAUAACUCGCUGUCGGCGAUAUACUGUCGGUGGCCUAGCGAAAGCGAUAAGUUAUCCACCUGGGGAGUACGACCGCAAGGUUGAA